rnacentral:rRNA from 1 species
GACGAACGCUGGCGGCGUGCUUAACACAUGCAAGUCGAACGGAAAGGCCCUGCUUUUGUGGGGUGCUCGAGUGGCGAACGGGUGAGUAACACGUGAGUAACCCGCCCUUGACUUUGGGAUAACUUCAGGAAACUGGGGCUAAUACCGGAUAGGAGCUCUUGCUGCAUGGUGGGGGUUGGAAAGUUUCGGCGGUUGGGGAUGGACUCGCGGGUUAUCAGCUUGUUGGUGGGGUAGUGGCUUACCAAGGCUUUGACGGGUAGCCGGCCUGAGAGGGUGACCGGCCACAUUGGGACUGAGGUACGGCCCAGACUGCUACGGGAGGCAGCAGUGGGGAGUAUUGCACAAUGGGCGGGAGCCUGAUACAGCAACGCCGCGUGCGGGAUGACGGCCUUCGGGUUGUGAACCGCUUUCGCCUGAGACGAAGCGUGAGUGACGGUAAUGGGUAAAGAAGCACCGGCUAACUACGUG